UUGCUGCUUCGCUGACGAGUGGCGGACGGGUGAGUAAUGUCUGGGAAACUGCCUGAUGGAGGGGGAUAACUACUGGAAACGGUAGCUAAUACCGCAUAACGUCGCAAGACCAAAGAGGGGGACCUUCGGGCCUCUUGCCAUCGGAUGUGCCCAGAUGGGAUUAGCUAGUAGGUGGGGUAACGGCUCACCUAGGCGACGAUCCCUAGCUGGUCUGAGAGGAUGACCAGCCACACUGGAACUGAGACACGGUCCAGACUCCUACGGGAGGCAGCAGUGGGGAAUAUUGCACAAUGGGCGCAAGCCUGAUGCAGCCAUGCCGCGUGUAUGAAGAAGGCCUUCGGGUUGUAAAGUACUUUCAGCGGGGAGGAAGGCGAUGAGGUUAAUAACCUCGUCGAUUGACGUUACCCGCAGAAGAAGCACCGGCUAACUCCGUGCCAGCAGCCGCGGUAAUACGGAGGGUGCAAGCGUUAAUCGGAAUUACUGGGCGUAAAGCGCACGCAGGCGGUCUGUCAAGUCAGAUGUGAAAUCCCCGGGCUCAACCUGGGAACUGCA
rnacentral:rRNA from 1 species